GUUCUGGGCCUGGUGGCAUGUGAGUUACAAGUAAUGAUGGGCAUGGCAGUUCUUUUAGAUGUACUGAAUCACUAGAAUCAGUUCACUAAAAAGAUUCAUUCAAAAGACUCGUUCACCGAAUCACUGAAUCAUUCAGGGCUCGGCAGGAGGAGCCUGCAACUCUGACUUCAGUUCAGUUCACGGCUUCUGGGACCGGGAGACAAGAGUGUUUGGCUGUGUUGCUUUGAUAAACAGGUUUGUAAAAAUGAACUUGUUUAUAAAUCAUGAUGUUUUAAGUGUUCUGUCCAAUGGUAUGCUAUUUAUCUACUCUGUAAAUUGGGCUCAGUGAGUGAUUCAUUCAUUCAAUGUUUACUCCACAGGACAUUCAGUGAAGAAUUCACACUGAACAUGUACCGUUCACUUGCAAAUCGCUGCAAUGAUAGAAUCAGACAGUCACGCAUUUCUCAAACUGCGGGUUUUAUACACUAUUGUUGCAUGCUGUGUCCGACCGUAUGCAAGAUGUUGUGGUGGCAAUUUAGCUGAGUUAAAAAAAAAAGUUAGCUUUCUCCGAGGUACACUUGAACACAACACACCCCUAUGUAGUUCACUGCGUGAUUCGUUUACCAAGUGAUUCAGGCGUCGGCGCAUCUGUCCCUCACUUGCCGACUGCUCGCCCGACAAUGGCGCUUGCUAUGGCAGCUGCGCUCAACUGAAGUGAGAAACGAACAAAUCACUUGAGGAAGUGAUUUUGUUCACUAAAAAGAUCUGGUUCUUUUGAACGAAUCAUUCCCAAACGAUUCAACACUAGUUACAAGUGAACAAGUGUAAGUCCUCCUUAAAUCCUGCUGUAAAUACAUCAUUUAUUUGCCUAUUUUUUUGUUUUGUUUCCUGCAUUGUAAAUAUUUUUACCACUGUUUGCUGUUUUAGGGAGUUGGAGUGAAUUAAAACCCACUACACUGGAGUUUCAACAAACGCGUGACAGACCAUGAGGCCACACAGGAUUCAAACCUGCACUAUUUAUGUGAGG